GGGGGUGACUUGGCUUCGACAGGAGUCGUGAAACUUCGGUGCAUGCAGCUUUUGGCACAGCUUUAAAAGCCUAAAACUUAAACUUAAACGCAAACAACGUUAAAUUUGCUCCUGCUUACGCUAAAGCUGCGUAAGUUCAGUCGAGCCUUGCCUUUCGCGACGCCGUUUAGCGAUUUUGGCGAGUAACCCAGACGGCUUAGAAUUUGAGCUUGGCGCGUUCAAAUUUGAAUCCUAGCCUUAGCUUGUUCGUAAACCUUGGGAAGCGGGCGCGAGCAAGUGAAGACUUUCGCUUCUACUAAGCAUGUAGAGUCCGUGGCGACGUGAUUUUUGGACUGCGGUUCGACCCCGCACACCUCCACCA
rnacentral:tmRNA from 1 species